rnacentral:rRNA from 1 species
GGCCUACGGGACGCAGCAGUGAGGAAUAUUGGUCAAUGGGCGGGAGCCUGAACCAGCCAAGUCGCGUGAAGGAAGAAGGUACUUAGUAUUGUAAACUUCUUUUGUCGGGGAACAAAGGCGGAGACGCGUCUCCGGAUGAGUGUACCCGAAGAAAAAGCCCCGGCUAACUACGUGCCAGCAGCCGCGGUAAUACGUAGGGGGCAAGCGUUAUCCGGAUUUACUGGGUGUAAAGGGGGCGCAGACGGCAAUGCAAGCCAGGAGUGAAAGCCCGGGGCCCAACCCCGGGACUGCUCUUGGAACUGCAU